CCUACGGGAGGCAGCAGUGAGGAAUAUUGGUCAAUGGGCGAGAGCCUGAACCAGCCAAGUCGCGUGAGGGAAGACGGUCCUAUGGGUUGUAGACCUCUUUUGCCGGGGAGCAAAAAGCGGUACGUGUACCGCAUCGAGAGUACCCGGAGAAAAAGCAUCGGCUAACUCCGUGCCAGCAGCCGCGGUAAUACGGAGGAUGCGAGCGUUAUCCGGAUUUAUUGGGUUUAAAGGGUGCGCAGGCGGCGAGUUAAGUCAGCGGUAAAAUUUCGGGGCUCAACCCCGACAAGCCGUUGAAACUGGGGGGCUAGAGUGGGCGAGAGGCAUGCGGAAUGCGUGGUGUAGCGGUGAAAUGCAUAGAUAUCGCGCAGAACCCCGAUUGCGAAGGCAGCAUACCGGCGCCCAACUGACGCUCAGGCACGAAAGCGUGGGUAUCGAACAGGAUUAGAUACCCCGGUAGUC
rnacentral:rRNA from 1 species